CAUGCGCUCCCUGGGGACCACCGGCCCAGUCAGCACAGCGGCCACAGGGGAGGACACUGCAGGGCAGGACUCGGCCGGGUCACCCCCACACCUGUAUCUGCACAGCCCAUGCAUGGGCCGGGCUGAGUCCAGUCGCAACCACAGGAGGCCAGUGCCCUCAGCCUAUGUCCCAUUCAGCCCUAAAGCAGCCAGGCUCAGCGGAGGGCCAGGAACCCCUACAAGAGCCGCAGACAGUGACGCUGACCGGACGUCACAGGCCUCCUGGGGUCACACGGCGCACAAGCAGCCCCCCAGGACAGCAGCAAGCAGGGCUGAGAUGCCACCAGCACCCUGGGCAGGGCUGCCCACCGACUGAACUGUGCAGGCUGGGCCAGGGGCUCCUGAGAAAGCCGUCCUGGUGGCACCUACCAGAAGGUCUCCAGGAGGAUGCAGAGCUCCUGGGCGCGGCCCAGCGCGAACACAGGGAUCAGCACCUGGGGGACACACACGGCAGGAGCCUGGCCAUACAGUCCCUUGGCACAGCAGGCAGCGUUCAGUGAGGGCACAGCCAGGUGCCCAAGAGCUGCCUCAUAGGGACCUUAGCCUCUCUCAUCUGCUCCCAGUCCUGUCCCAGCCACUCUCCGGAGACAGAAGGGAGCUGCGUGGGGCCUGGCCAGGGCUUCCUCAGGAUCUGAGUGCCCCCCACCCUGAGACCCUGACCUAGGCCAAGGGCAGCCAAAAGGACCCGCCCAGCAUAGCCGAGGGCCCGCGUCCCCACCCCUGCUGUGGCUACCUUCCCACCACGCUCCACGGUCUCGUGGACUUUCUUCAGGAAGUCUCGCUCCCGGCAGCGCUUGGAGUCGCGGAUGGUUGUGGCGUACGUGGACUCCGUGAUGAGCAGGUUGGGGCGGCACUUGUCAAUCCAGGCAGCUCUAGUACACGGGGGUGGGGUGUGAGUCACAGUGCACGGUCCCCACAGCUGCAGGGCUGGGUCUGACAAGCUGGGCCCCAGUACUACGCCCACCCGCCUUCCUGGGCCACUCUGGCUGGAAAGAGCCAGCUGGUAAAAUGCUGUGGGCAGCACACUUGGGAAGAGAGAAGAGGAACAGAGGACCCCGCCCAGACCUUGGGAAGAGACAGGAGGGACAGAGGACCCCGCCUGGACCCUGUGCCUUCGCGCAUCUGGGCCCAGAAGGGGCUCUCCAGGCCACACGGGACAUGGGAGACACUGCUGGGCUGGCCGCUCGAGGGCUGGCACGCCGACACCCGCCAGGGUCCUGAGCGCCAGGGGGGCCCAUGGGACAAAAGACAUCUCGGACUACUUACCCCAAGUGUCGGUCUGGGGUCAUGUUAUAAUCACCCUGGUGAACGAUCAAGGCCACCAUGAGGAGGGUGCGUCCCACCCCGGCAGCCCCUCCCGAGCCUUAAGCCCUUCCACUGACCGUGUAGACCACAGACUCUGAGCCCACUUUAAUCUGGAACAUGGCUGCCCCCAGCACGUGGCCUGCAUAGUAGGCCUUGAUCUCCAGUUCAUCAUCCACCUGUGGAGGACAGGGCUGUGCUCAGGCUGUGUCGUCACAGCAGAGGGGCAGAGAGGCAGGGGUGGGGAGCGAGGGAGGCAGGGGCGGGGAGCGAGGGAGGCAGGGGCCGGGAGCGAGGGAGGCAGGGGCGGGGAGCGAGGGCACUGCACUGAGCCUUUUAGUCCCUGUUGCUCAUACACAGCAUCCAGUUCACAAGGGACGGGCAAUGUGGACAAAGAACAAAAAACAACAGA